GGAUGUGGGGGCGAUCUGCCGUGACACCUGUCACCCCGCUAAUCACCAGGGUUGAUUCGGCUGAUCUGGCGGGUGUGGCUGGGGUCCCCUUCCUCCCUCACAGCCCCCUGUGCGUCCCUCCCGAAGCUGCGCACCCAGGGGAAGAGGACGACCACCCCCCACGGAGGAGGACCGGUCCUAGGUCAAGGGUGUAGGGGUAGCUGCCUCCCCUGCUAGAACUCCAAACAAGCUCUCAAGAAUGGGCAAGAGAAGAGGUCACAGAAUAAGAAAUGAAAAUAACUUUUCUUUUCUUUUU
rnacentral:snRNA from 1 species